CAGUCGCCGCGGUAAUACGAAGGGUGCAAGCGUUAAUCGGAAUUACUGGGCGUAAAGCGUGCGUAGGCGGUGAGUUAAGUCCGUUGUGAAAGCCCUGGGCUCAACCUGGGAAUUGCAGUGGAUACUGGGUCACUAGAGUGUGGUAGAGGAUAGUGGAAUUUCCGGUGUAGCAGUGAAAUGCGUAGAGAUCGGAAGGAACAUCUGUGGCGAAGGCGACUAUCUGGGCCAACACUGACACUGAGGCACGAAAGCGUGGGGAGCAAACAGGAUUAGAUACCCCUGUAGUCCCUGUCUCUUAUAA
rnacentral:rRNA from 1 species